GAUGAACGCUGGCGGCGUGCCUAAUACAUGCAAGUCGAGCGAACGGACGAGAAGCUUGCUUCUCUGAUGUUAGCGGCGGACGGGUGAGUAACACGUGGAUAACCUACCUAUAAGACUGGGAUAACUUCGGGAAACCGGAGCUAAUACCGGAUAAUCUUUUGAACCGCAUGGUUCAAAAGUGAAAGACGGUCUUGCUGUCACUUAUAGAUGGAUCCGCGCUGCAUUAGCUAGUUGGUAAGGUAACGGCUUACCAAGGCAACGAUGCAUAGCCGACCUGAGAGGGUGAUCGGCCACACUGGAACUGGAACACGGUCCAGACUCCUACGGGAGGCAGCAGUAGGGAAUCUUCCGCAAUGGGCGAAAGCCUGGCGGAGCAACGCCGCGUGAGUGAUGAAGGUCUUCGGAUCGUAAAACUCUGUUAUUAGGGAAGAACAUAUGUGUAAGUAACUGUGCACAUCUUGACGGUACCUAAUCAGAAAGCCACGGCUAACUACGUG
rnacentral:rRNA from 1 species